UGUCCCAUUUUGCAGGCCACCACCUCCACCUCUCUUUCUCCUCUGUUUAACAUCAGCAAUCGACCUGCCUUUGAAGUGCCGCUCAGCUCGUUUCCCAGCCCCCCAGGGACGUUGGGCUGCUUUUACUGGCUACCCCUGUCCCAGGACUGGCUCACUCUGGCUGUCCCCGACAAGGUGAGAGAACUAAGAGGAAACAGAGCCGGCAGCAAGAGGAAGACUGACAGCUGGAGAGAGAAAGCCACAAGCAAAGACAAACAUCAAAGAGUCAUGAGAGAACGAACAGAUGAAAGGACAAAAAAAUCUACGUUUCCUUCAACAGCAUCCUCACAGGAGGAAGCGAUGCAUUCAUCAGGAACAAGUUCAUUCAUUAAGAGCUGAUGUAUGACAAGUACUUUCCCACAGCUGAGAGCAACAUUGGAUCACCUCAAUUUAAAGGGGGGUCCCAUCGGGCCCAUAGCCCCUGGUGAUCCAGGGGCUCCUGGGUUCCCCGGUGGCCCAGCUUGACCUGGCAGACUGCAGACCAGCUGUGAGGAGUGGAUGGUGAAGUUACGACCCUUCUUGGGUAAGGAGGAUGUUGACUGGGAGAGGACAGCGGACAGCAAACAGAAGAUCACACACAUCUGGAGCAUGAUGGUCACUGUGGAGUCAACACAAGACAAGAGCAAGGGAAUGUUUACACCAAAACCUUUGUUGUAAGGUCACAGCAUUAGAUCAUUAAAAUGUCUGUAAACAAAGAAACAUAAAGAACAUUCAUUCUUCAAGU